GAAAGGGAUCCCCAGGGUGACAUGAAGGCGGGGACAUUUUGGUCUCCAUCCUGCUCCAUCCUCCAUCCAUCCGGACAGGCUCCUGGCUAUUUAGAAACAGGAUCCUGAGUCACAGGAUCAGUAAGGAAAGGGAGAGAUGGGCAGACUCACUGGAGUCUGCAGUGGGGCACAGGACUCUCCUAUGCGACACCAUCUCACAGGAGGGACAGUGCGACCUUCAGAGGCCCAGCCCUGGCCCACGGGUUGGUCAUCGUCUGUGAGGGACCCAGAAUCCCGGUCCCCAGCUGGGACGGCGUCGCUGUGUGGUGAGGCACCCUUGUGGUACCGUGUUCCACGGCGAUGGAUGGCCAGCCGGAAGGGGAGCGGAAAGGAAGCUCCCAAGGUCCCUGCGUAGCUGGACGGGGCAAACUCAGGAACUGCACUGCAGUUCGCGCUGCAGCUGCCACAGAUGCAUCGGGAGGCCUUGGAGGUCAUUUCAUCCAGUUCCUUGAUUUUUAACUAAGGUAAAAGCAUAGGCUCUGCUUUAAGUGAUAAAUACUUAUCACUUAAUCAACAAAUUCUCCCCAGUCAGAUGACUUCCUGAGCUGGGUUUAAAUGGGUUUUUCUUCCAAACUAUUCAUUAUCCCUCUACAUUGGAUUUCAUCUUUCGCUUGGCCAUCCCUCAUCUAUCUACAUGAAAUAUGUUGAUUCCAACUCAAUCACUGCCUUGAUCGAUCUCAGGUUUGGAGCCUGAUGCUGAAGCAAGACUGCAUGGGGGCCGACGUUCGGGACCCUCGCAGUGAGCUCUUCCUCUUCACCCUCAGGACGGAUCACAGUUAGACUUGGAAGGCACCUCGGUGGUCUCUUGUCCAAGGCAGCUCAGGGCGGAAGCUCUGGCCAAGCAGACAUGAAAGGAGUGAUGUGUGCACCACCCAGAAAGCGCACUUAGAGAUCCUAAGAGCGCCCUUCUUCUGCCUCUCUCUCGAGGCCAGGCGGGUGAAAGGAGCGGCUGGUACUACAGCUGUCACCUUGGAUCAUGAGUGUGACUGCAUUUGGGGAUCGGCUGCAUGUGUGGAGGUGACCAAUGAGGUCGGAAGGAGCCGUGCUCAUGGGGAAAGCUCCCCUGCUCCGUCUCCCACCGCAUGAGGACAGAGUGACAAGGUGGCCAUCUGCAAACCAGGAAAGAACCCAUACCAGAAAACAGCCCUGACAGACUUUGUCUUGGAUUUCUGGCCUCCGGGAUCAGGAGAAAGUAAAUUCCUGUACUUGAGCCACCGGCCUGUGUAUUUCAUUAGGACAGCCUGAGCUGACUAAGGCACUUGGACAGUUCAUACUUCCUUCGAAAAAGCCCUGAGCAGUAUUCUUUCAGGUCUUCUGGUUUUCGUGAUAAAUAAUCUCUCCAGUUUCCUUAGUAAUUCUUCAUAAGAAUAAAAUGCUCAGGACCUUUACCAGCUGGGGGGAAUCUGUCUAGAACCAAGUCAAAUAGACUGGGUCUGUGGAUGGGACCUACCAGACACGAACCUAUCGAUGGCCCUCUCCAGCACUUGAAUCCAACACUCUCCUUCCUCUUCCCCAAAUGGACUGGACCAGGAGGAAGACAGCCCCCGUGGAGGUGUCAGGCUGCUCUUUCCGGGCUGUGUUCCCAGAGCCUCAAGAAAGAGAUAGUUCUGUAUAAAUAACUCUCAGCGAUGGCCCGAUUGCAAAGGUCCUUGGAGAGGGGGUGGAGGCAGCACACCCCUCUUACACUCUCAUUGCUGAAGUGGAUCCAGAACAACAGAAAAGUUGCUUCCCAAGGUUCAGAUGGUGACUCGAGUAAGGGGACCCAUUUUGUCCACACUGAGCCACCAACUGCUCUUCCUGCAACAGAAAUGCCAUAUGUCUGGGAGCCAUCAUGGAGCUGCCACGCCCUGCUCCAGCCGCAGGGCUGGCCAGGGAUCCGUGCGGCCAGUCAGAGCCACGUCUCUCCAGCUGCAGUGACUGCACAGGGCAGACUUGUGACCUCAGCCAAGCAAAUCAGUCUUCCCUGAGAUUUUUCUGCUGAAGUCAUCUGGGAAGAUGGCUUCCUGUUUUGGAGACUCUUCAGAGAAUGUGGAGUGAGGACGAGCUAGUGGCCGUCUUUCUCAGUCAUACUGACUUCGCCUAUCUGUAAGGGGCCAUCCGACCAGUGCAGAGGAAGAGCAAGGAGAUAAAGGAAGGUAGCUCAUCCUGACCUGACAAGGGGAGAGGCCUGGAUCCAGCUAUGCCUGCCACCUACCUUUGGACUUCCCAGUUAUGUGAAUCAAC
rnacentral:lncRNA from 1 species